AACGAACGCUGGCGGCAGGCCUAACACAUGCAAGUCGAGCGAGACCUUCGGGUCUAGCGGCGGACGGGUGAGUAACGCGUGGGAACGUGCCCUUUUCUGCGGAAUAGCCUCGGGAAACUGAGCGUAAUACCGCAUACGCCCUUUGGGGGAAAGAUUUAUCGGAAAAGGAUCGGCCCGCGUUGGAUUAGGUAGUUGGUGGGGUAAUGGCCUACCAAGCCUACGAUCCAUAGCUGGUUUGAGAGGAUGAUCAGCCACACUGGGACUGAGACACGGCCCAGACUCCUACGGGAGGCAGCAGUGGGGAAUCUUAGACAAUGGGGGCAACCAUGAUCUAGCCAUGCCGCGUGAGUGAUGAAGGCCUUAGGGUUGUAAAGCUCUUUCAGCUGGGAAGAUAAUGACGGUACCAGCAGAAGAAGCCCCGGCUAACUCCGUG
rnacentral:rRNA from 1 species